AUGCCAGCGACGUCCACGACCUCCUCUCCUCCCCGCACCUCCAGCUCCAAUGGCAGCAUGCCCGUCAUCUGCUCGAUGAAAUGUCUGUGCCCAGUCUACUCGAGGGCGAUGAACUCUUGUACAGCGGAAAAUAUCUGGAAGCAGCAACUCACUUACCGAAGCUCUGAAAAGAAUCCAAAUGAACCCGCAGUUUUUACAAACAGAGCUCAAGGUCACAUCUUUCUCAGAGCUCUGCCUGAAGGUCUGGAUGAUGUGGGAAAAUGUAUUGAGCUGGAUCCUACUUAUCUGGUGGGUUAUACGUGUUGA
rnacentral:rRNA from 1 species